UACGUAGGGUGCAAGCGUUAAUCGGAAUUACUGGGCGUAAAGCGUGCGCGGGCGGUUUUGUAAGUCUGUCGUGAAAUCCCCGGGCUCAACCUGGGAAUUGCGAUGGAGACUGCAAGGCUAGAAUCUGGCAGAGGGGGGUAGAAUUCCACGUGUAGCAGUGAAAUGCGUAGAGAUGUGGAGGAACACCGAUGGCGAAGGCAGCCCCCUGGGUCAAGAUUGACGCUCAUGCACGAAAGCGUGGGGAGCAAACAGG
rnacentral:rRNA from 1 species